rnacentral:rRNA from 1 species
AACGAACGCUGGCGGCGCGCCUAAUACAUGCAAGUCGAGCGAGAAGAUGUAGCAAUACACUUGUAAAGCGGCGAACGGGUGAGGAAUGCAUGGGUAACCUACCCUCGAGUGGGGAAUAACUAGCCGAAAGGUUAGCUAAUACCGCAUACGUUUCCGGAACUUCGGUUUCGGAAAGAAAGCAAUACCGUGGGUAUUGCGCUCCUGGAUGGGCUCAUGUCCUAUCAGCUUGUUGGUGAGGUAACGGCUCACCAAGGCUUCGACGGGUAGCUGGUCUGAGAGGACGAUCAGCCACACUGGCACUGCGACACGGGCCAGACUCCUACGGGAGGCAGCAGUAAGGAAUAUUGCGCAAUGGACGAAAGUCUGACGCAGCGACGCCGCGUGGGGGAUGAAGGUCUUCGGAUUGUAAACCCCUUUCGGGAGGGAAGAUGGAGUGGGUAACCACUUGGACGGUACCUCCAGAAGCAGCCACGGCUAACUUCGUGCCAGCAGCCGCGGUAAU